rnacentral:rRNA from 1 species
GUGAGGGAUGACGGCCUUCGGGUUGUAAACCUCUUUCGCCUGUGACGAAGCGCAAGUGACGGUAACAGGUAAAGAAGCACCGGCCAACUACGUGCCAGCAGCCGCGGUAAUACGUAGGGUGCGAGCGUUGUCCGGAAUUAUUGGGCGUAAAGGGCUCGUAGGCGGUUUGUCGCGUCGGGAGUGAAAAUCAGGUGCUUAACACCUGGCUUGCUUUCGAUACGGGCAGACUAGAGGUAUUCAGGGGAGAACGGAAUUCCUGGUGUAGCGGUGAAAUGCGCAGAUAUCAGGAGGAACACCGGUGGCGAAGGCGGUUCUCUGGGAAUGACCUGACGCUGAGGAGCGAAAGUGUGGGGAGCGAACAGGAUUAGAUACCCUGGUAGUCCACACCGUAAACGUUGGGCGCUAGGUGUGGGGUCCAUUCCACGGAUUCCGUGCCGCAGCUAACGCAUUAAGCGCCCCGCCUGGGGAGUACGGCCGCAAGGCUAAAACUCAAAGGAAUUGACGGGGGCCCGCACAAGCGGCGGAGCAUGCGGAUUAAUUCGAUGCAACGCGAAGAACCUUACCUGGGUUUGACAUACACCCUGCCGCUCCAGAGAUGGGGCUUCUUUUGGGGGUGUACAGGUGGUGCAUGGCUGUCGUCAGCUCGUGUCGUGAGAUGUUUGGGUUAAGUCCCGCAACGAGCGCAACCCUCGUUCUAUGUUGCCAGCACGUAAUGGUGGGGACUCAUAGGAGACUGCCGGGGUCAACUCGGAGGAAAGGUGGGGAUGACGUCAAGUCAUCAUGCCCCUUAUGUCCAGGGCUUCACGCAUGCUAACAAUGGCCGGUACAAAGGGCUGCGAUCCCGUAAGGGGGAACGAAAUCCCAAAAAAGCCGGUCUCAGUUCGGAUUGGGGUCUGCAAC